UAGAUACACACUCAAAAUGCGUCGAAGA
rnacentral:sRNA from 1 species